rnacentral:rRNA from 1 species
CCUNUUGUAGUUCUGUGGUAUUGGGGACUCUGUCCUCUUGCCGUGGUCCUACGUCUUUACACACACACCGUAAUACAGUCUCAUGGAAUGUAUGUCGCGUUUAACGCAAUACAAUACAACUUUCAGCAACGGAUCUCUUGGCUCUCGCAUCGAUGAAGAACGCAGCGAAAUGCGAUAAGUAAUGUGAAUUGCAGAAUUCAGUGAAUCAUCGAAUCUUUGAACGCACCUUGCGCCCUUUGGCUAUUCCGAAGGGCAUGCCUGUUUGAGUAUCAUGAACACCUCAACUCUCAUGGCCUGCCAUGAUGAGCUUGGAUUUUGGGGGUCUUGCCGGCCUAACCGUCGGCUCCUCUCAAACGAAUCAGCUUGCCAGUGUUUGGUGGCAUCACAGGUGUGAUAACUAUCUACNCUUGUGGUUCUCCACCAGGUAACCUUCAGCAAUGGAGGUUCGCUGGAGCUCACAGAGGUCUCCCCUCAGGGAAGACAGCUUUUUGAACGUUUGAUCUCAAAUCAGGUAGGACUACCCGCUGAACUUAAGCAUAUCUNNNNGCGGAGGAA